CACAUGCAAGUCGAACGAUGAAGCCUUCGGGUGGAUUAGUGGCGAACGGGUGAGUAACACGUGGGAAAUCUGCCCUGCACUCCGGGACAAGCCUUGGAAACGAGGUCUAAUACCGGAUAUGACCUUCCUCCGCAUGGGGGUUGGUGGAAAGCUCCGGCGGUGCAGGAUGAUCCCGCGGCCUAUCAGCUUGUUGGUGGGGUAACGGCCCACCAAGGCGACGACGGGUAGCCGGCCUGAGAGGGCGACCGGCCACACUGGGACUGAGACACGGCCCAGACUCCUACGGGAGGCAGCAGUGGGGAAUAUUGCACAAUGGGCGAAAGCCUGAUGCAGCGACGCCGCGUGAGGGAUGACGGCCUUCGGGUUGUAAACCUCUUUCAGCAGGGAAGAAGCGCAAGUGACGGUACCUGCAGAAGAAGC
rnacentral:rRNA from 1 species